rnacentral:rRNA from 1 species
UGGGGAAUCUUCCGCAAUGGACGAAAGUCUGACGGAGCAACGCCGCGUGAGUGAAGAAGGUUUUCGGAUCGUAAAACUCUGUCUUUUGGGGCGAACGUGAGUAUGGUGAACAAUCAUAGUCAGUGACGGUACCAAAGGAGGAAGCCACGGCUAACUACGUGCCAGCAGCCGCGGUAAUACGUAGGUGGCAAGCGUUGUCCGGAAUUAUUGGGCGUAAAGAGCGCGUAGGCGGGAUAGUCAGUCUGUUGUAAAAGUGCGGGGCUCAACCCCGUGAUGGCAAUGGAAACAGCUAUUCUUGAGUGCAGGAGAGGAAAGUGGAAUUCCCAGUGUAGCGGUGAAAUGCGUAGAUAUUGGGAGGAACACCAGUGGCGAAGGCGACUUUCUGGACUGUGUCUGACGCUGAGGCGCGAAAGCCAGGGGAGCGAACGGGAUUAGAUACCCCGGUAGUCCUGGCCGUAAACGAUGGGUACUAGGUGUGGGAGGUAUCGACCCCUUCCGUGCCGGAGUUAACGCAAUAAGUACCCCGCCUGGGGAGUACGGUCGCAAGACUGAAACUCAAAUGAAUUGACGGGGUCAUAGCUGUUUCC